CUCUAGUAGGAUGAGCAUUUCUCCACUGCUCGUAGCACGAAGCCUUCACAAACCGUGGCGACUGGAAGAGCCUCCCAUCAGACACCUUUUAAACCUUGAUACUUUCAUCUUUAGAAUUAUAGGAUCACAUCAUCAUUCAAGGGAGAAAACUUCUGCAUUGGAAUACGUGACUGUGAUACACAAUUGUCUCCCUUCAAGAAUUAUGUUGUAAUACAGAUGAAUAAUUUUGUGCUAUCAAAAUAUUAUUAAUUGAGGCAAUGACAUGCUAUGGGUUGAAUAGUAUUAUAUUAAAAACAAUGGUUGGUUGAAUGAGAUUAUAAAAAAUAAACAUUUAGUAUUUUUCAAUUUUUAGCUCGGCUGUUUUUAGAGAAAACCCAAGGUAUUGUCAUAGCCAGCUUGUCGUAGUCUGCGUCGUGCAAAAACCUUAACAUUUUGUCAAGGUUUUGACUAUUGGCUCUAAAAUCAAAGUGUUUCCAUCUUCAACCUUGAAACUUCAUAUUAGCUGCACCUU